UGCUCCGGCCGCACUCCCAGGGAACACGGAGAAAAAGCUUUCUGUAACGUAAGCCCUUUCCAAGUGGUUGGGAAAGAAACAUCUCAGCGUUUAUUACGUUUAUUACUUUAUGCUGUAACCUUAAAGAAUCUGAAUGACUUGCAGAACGGAAGCUGUCCUCCACACGGACGAGGACGCACGCCGGACGGCCAACUCCGCCCGGAGAAGCACAGACCGGAAACGCCGGGCGGGCGGCCGGAAGUGCUGGGACCCCUCCCAAUAGCCCCGCCCUUCUCGUGACCCCGCCUCCCCGCGACCCGCACCCGGAAUCGCUGUCUGGAAGCGCCUGUCCCGCCUACGGGUGAGACCUUCCAUUUUGUGGGGAGCUGCGCUGCGCGGCGGCGGUGAGACCCCAUCUUGCCCCUGAACCCGGAGCUGGGAGGGAAGGCCCGCCCUGCCGGGGACAUCCCCUGCCCUCUGUCCCGGAUGCCCUGCUGCGGCCUGUGCCUGUCAGGCAACAUUUGUCACUUGAGAACAAGAGAUGAUCUCCUUUUUCAAGUCAACUCAGAACAAAGACUGUACCAGAGAGUGAAAUUACACGGAUGAAUAAAAGCAGAGAGAUCAUCUCUCCUUGUGGAGAACAUCACAUCAAUACAUCAAAAAAUGUAUUGUUAAGAAGACCUAAUUAUUGGCAUGGGAAAACAUACAAGGUCAGGGCAGACCUGGAAGACUUGGAUUGCCGUGCCAGGUCCGCACCUGGCCACUGACUGAGGAGCCGGCUGAACGCAGCUCCUGGGAGCCUGUGGGGCAGCCUGUCUGCAGGACUGUAUGGCUACGAGGAUAUUCUUCAUUAAGACAGCUGGGAGACUGGAUUCCUGGUAAGCCCGGGACCCCAUGGGCAGCCCUUCAGGUAAAGUGAGGACUGACACCUCAGAAAUACUUGGGGAUGGGAGGUCUCCUUCUGCCCUGGACGGUGUUGGGGUGGUUCCAGUGCGAAUCAUGGCGCCAGUGGCCUGGAGGGCCUGGACUGGCCGCCCGCCCUCACGUGGUGGAAGAGGUGCUGUACGUGAGCAGAGCACAGCAAAGCCAGCAUGGCGCAGGGCAGUGUGUUGGGAGUAGCCCAUUAGGAGCAGGACGUAUCUGCCUCAUUCCAUCAGUCAUCAGGACCGCUGAACGUAUUUGCCUGAGGGCAGAGCUGGAGGGAUGGGGGGGUGGUGGUGCGGGAUGUUCUGGGGACCCUCCGAAAACCUCUGGGAGCCUUGGGUGUUGGAGGAUCCCUGGGCCCAGUGGGGCAUCCGGUUCAAGUUGCCACCUUUGAAAGCAUUUAAGGGAGAAACCACUCCAGACCGUGGUGGUAUGUAGGUUUGGGGGCCCAAGCUGAGCCCAACAGCCCACAAGGUAACCAGCAGACAAAGGUUAGGUAACAGUGAGGGGCUGACUGUGCACCCUCAGGCUGAGCCUAAUUGUCAGGGACCCACUAUGCAUGCACAGCCAGAGGCUGGCUGAGAGGUGUCUGACUGGGUGUGAACAGGCAGCCGAGGCCUGAGGGAAUGCAUGCAACUGAAAAGACAAAUGGGAGGGAGGGAGGUCCUGGGCCCUGGAGCAGGCUCCGGAUGGACCCUUUGACCUCAACAUAGACCCCAGGGAGUGCUGGUUUUUGAGAAGCCCCGGGACUCAAUGAAGCCCCCAGUUUCGAAAGGGAUCUGUCUGUGCCAGUCUGAAGCUUCUGCCUUUGAAACAGUUUCAGGGAGUAACCACUCUCCACCCUGGGGUGGUGCACUUUGGUGCGCUGGCCUGAGCCCAGUAUUCCAUGAGGGGCUUGGACAACAAAGUUGGGGGGGCAGGUGAAUGAGGAGGGCUGACUGCACACUCACAGGCUACCCAGGCCUGGGGGCGGGCCUGGACUUGGAACAGGAGACCAUAGGUACAACUCUGACCCCAGUAGCCCACCGUGGCCCUGAUUGGCAAGGUGUCCUGGCAACUACCAAACGUGCGUGCACAGUUGGACGCCAGUGAUGGGGGGCCGACUGUAUAGAUGUGGCUGCCGUAGGCCCUGCAGGGCCUGGAUCUUGAGAAGCAGCCAUGAGCAAAGCCUAGGCGUGGAUGCAAGCUCCUGGUGGGACGUGGUGUCUGCAGAAUCCAAGCUAUAUUCUUCCCAGCUGCACAUACCACCCCUGAAGACAGAGCUGCAGGAAUCUGGGCUGACUUGACAGGAGGGUCUGGAGGGACAGUCAGGCUGCCCUCUAGAGGGACACCUGGAGAAGCCUGGGACCCCUCAAACAGCCAGUCCACCUGGGGGUGACUGUCACCAGGUUGAACCUGCCACCUCAGAAAGAUUGUUUUCUUGUGGGCUGCCUCCACCCUCCUGCUCUGGGGUCGACCUCUGGAGCUCUGCAGGACUGGAGGCCAGGGUGGGCUAGUGGGCUGGCAAAGGGUAGACGGUGCCUGUACAGGCCAUGCGGGUCAGGGUAGCCAUGGACCUGGAACAGGGCAGUUGUAGGAAGAGGCCGUGUCACAGGUGUAGUCUACUUUGUGGGUCCCUGAAGUCAGUCUCAUAGGAAGUCUUAGCUCACACACAGUUACAUAUUUCCACUGGAGCCGAGCUAGAUGCAGUUGCACUCCCUUGUCAGCAUGGGUCCAGCGGCUUCCUGGGUGGUAUCUUCCCACAAAAGACCCCUUGGAGCCUUGAUUGCUGGUAAAGCUGGGGACCCCAUCAGGCAGGCAGGCUUGCUGGGGACUGACUGCCACCACUUUCAGACUGCCUCCUCUGAAAAAUUCUCGGGGGUGGCAUCCCUCUGCCCAAGAGACUCUGUGGGUCAUUGGGGUGUGGGCAGAACUCCAGAGGCAGAGAGAGACCUGGCUUCCUCAUACAGGCGAGGGGAUAGCAAGGCAUGCAGAUGCAGGAGCCGGGACCAGAAGAGGGCAGGUGUGCAGAGAGGUUGGCUCUUGUGAAUGGGUCUUUGGCUAUUCAAGUCCUCUGCCUAAUUCCCAGCUCUGUUACACAAAGGAGUCUGUUUUCCCCCCAAGGUAAAGCUGGAGGAUUAUGGACUGCCUUGGCCAAAGAGGGCCCAUGUGGCUGUCAGGGUAUCCUUCAUGAAGAGACACCUGGGAACCUUGAUUCCUGGUAACCCUGGGAUGCCAUCAGGUACACAGCCAGUUGUGGUAGGGACUGACUGUUGACUCAGAAACAUUUUGUAGGGGAGCGUACCUUCUGCCCUGGAAGGUGUUCAGGUGUUUUGGGGUCCACUCAAGGCCCCAGAAGCCUGGAGGGCCCCAGCUGGCCCUGCUGCCCUGGGGGGGGCGGUAGAAGUGGGGGGCACUGUGAAAAUUGCACCAUGCAGGGGACCCAGAACCCGAGGGACGAGGCAGGUGUUGUGAGUGGAUGGUUGACGGUAUGAAGGAUCUGCUUCGUUUUCAUCAUUGAAUCUUGCUCUGAGAGCAGAGCUGGAGGAAUCUGGUGAGCCCCCCUGGAUGAGCCUUUGUGGGAUUGUGUGGGGGACCCACCAGACACAGACCUCUGGGAGCCCUGGAUGUUGGAUAAUCCCUGGGCCCAAUCAAGCAUGCAGUCCAAAAGGAGUCUGUCUCUGGGCAGUUUUAAGUUGCCACCUUUGAAAGAAUUUGGGGGAGUAAGCUAUCUUGACCCUGGGAUGUGCAGGUCCAGGGAAACUGGUCCAAGCCCAACCGGCCAAGAGGAAAUCAGACUUCUGGGUGCCUUUCACAUAUGGGCCUGCUGGGGCUCACUUUCCUGCCCACAUGGGUUUUUAGGAGACCAGACAGGCUAGGGCUUUUUCUAGGGGCUGUUUUAAGUAGGAGAGCUUGGUUCUUUUCUUAGCAAGGUUAUCUCAGAGUGAAGGGUAAAUUGUGUCCCCAAAGAGGGAUAAGUCCAUGUCCUGAUGUCAGGACCUCAUUUGGAAGUAGGAUCUUUGUAGAGUUAAGUACGUAAUAGGAGUCAUUAGGGUGGUCCUAAUCCAUCCUGACUUGUGUCCUUGUAAAAAGAGGAGAGACACAGACACAGGAAAAGCCGUGUAAAGACAGAGAGUGAUGCAAGAGGCACUGCCACACCCUGGGGAUCCCUGGAGCCUCCAGAAGCUGUGGCCCCUAUGUGGUGGGGGGAGGGGGGACCCCAGAUGGUUCCAUGUCCCCUGCGUGAUGGUGGGGGGUGACCCUGGACAGUUCCAUGUCCUCUGUGUGGCAGGGGACCCCCAGACAGUUCAGUGUUCCCUGCGUUGUGUGGGGAGGUGACCCUGGACGGUUCCAUGUCCCCCGUGUUGUGGCGGGGGAGCAACUCCCACAGGAUGCUCGCCAGCAAGUUAGUUCUGUAGGAGACUGCAGGGCACUGAAUCCCCACACCUGCUUGGCCAUCACAGCCUUCCUCUUAGGUCUUCGGUCAGCACAGGAUGUCCCUGGGGCCUGGGGCAGCUGGGCCUUCAGCCUCCACAUGGGGGCCUUCAGGUGCUGACGAAAAGUGCAAGUUACUCUGCCAGGAUGUUGGAAGGUGAACUUCUCAGUGGCCGCCUGGAAUGGGGGCUGCGAGUGGCACUUAAUGACUAAAUUAGAAGCAGAGAGGGUGAACAUUGUUGGGCUAUAAAUGGGAGGGAAGGUCUGACACUGCCAUGUGGAUGACCUUGAAAACAUGGUGCUCAGUGAGAGAAGCCACAUGGCGUAUGAUCCUGCAUAUGGAGUGUCCAGGACCCACAGACAGGGGAUCCAUGGUUCCUGGGCCACCAAAGGGUAGGGUCACGGGGAUUUUCUACAGUGGACGGUGGCAAUGGUUGUGCCACUCCUGAAUAUACAAAACACUGAGGUUUAUAUUUUGAAUGAGUUAGUUGUAAGGUGUGUGAAUUCUACGUCAGUACAGGUGUUGUAUCAGAAAUAACUCAGGGAUUCCAGAGCCGCCUCCACAGUCUGUCGCAGGAGCUGUGAGCAGGGCAGGACCGGUGAGUCUGACCAGGCGCUCGGAGCGUGCCGCACAAAAUCCCUGCCGCAUGAAGUUCUCGGGGGCCAAUUUGGACCUCAGCCCGCGAGGCCCGAUUCUGCGGCCUUGCCAUCCUCUCAGGAAUGAGGCAUCGCCCCCCAGCAGAAGAGCCCCAUCGAAGUUGCAUUGUUUUCUGCUCCUGCACCUGGCUUUCACAAUGGACGCAAGCGGCGUUUGGCGGAGUCUCCCUCCCUCUGGAGCUGCUGAUGAAGGGGUGAGGUGGCUGCAGCUCAGAAGCAGCUGCUGCAGGUGGCCUCCCCCCUGCAGUGGGCUGGCCUCGGCCUCUGAGGGGGCACUGGCUCCCGCUCCUGGACAGGGCUCCUCAGACUCCGUGAAAGGGGCAGUUGGAGACGUCUCUGAGGAGCCAGAUGGGUUCACAGUGGUGACACCCACAUGCCUGCCUCUCCGUGUGCCUUUGUUGAGACAGAACCCGCCCAGGGCCCCCCAGAGAAGCCGCAGCCAGGAAGGAGCCCUCACUGGGACGUCUCCCUGACUGCCGUGCACCAGCUGGGUACCCUGAGCCCAGUUUUUGUUCCUGGCCCCACACCAGCCUCUGGAGGCUCCUCCCCGUGUGGCCAGCCCUGACCCAUGUGCAGACACCUCCAUACACCCAGCCCCAGUCUUCUCACCCUCGGACUCGGCCUCCAUGGGCUCCGGCUCACGGACCACGGUCCAGUGAAGGACCAGCACGGGCAGCGGCCUGGGAGGUGGUGGAGACCUUCCCAGGCAAUCCACAGUUCUUGUUCCUGGAGAGCCCUCUGCAGUCACUUCCUCUGUGAGGGAGAUGGAAUGGGUGUCUGCCAGCUUCCUCCCAAUGUCAUCUGCGGUGUUCUGCAAAGACAGGGACUGGUAGCCGGCCUGGAGGCAUCACAGCCCUGCCCGGCCAUCCUCACUGUCCUCCUGCCCACUCCCCCUGAUGCUCCCAGAUCAGACACAGACCUGUGCUUGCACAGCCCAGAGCCUCCCAGAGAAGCCGUGGCCAGGAAGGAACUCUCACCGGCACGUCUCCCUGACUGCUGUCCAUCCGCUGGGUGCUCUGAGUCCAGUCUUUGCUCUUGACCCCAGCCUCUCAGGGCUUCUCCUGGUGGGGCCCAGCACUGCCCCAUCCCCACACACCCAUAUACACCCACCCCCCGAUUUCUCACUGUUGGUGGGUCCAGGUCCUCUAGCAGAGUCCAGGGAAGAUAUGUACAGUGCUCCAGGUCGGAACCAGGCAUGUUGAGCUGUACGUAGGCCACUAGCUGCUUGAGGCAGAGACUGUCUGGGGCUGACAGGUGCUCUUGAGAACUGGUCCAGCCAUGUGCCCAGAAUGGAGGAGAUGACCCUGGAAAUAGGCGGGCAGGCAGCAGAAUCAGUGGCCUGGCCCUUCCUCCCACACAGCCCCCUGGGAUCCUCUGGGAAUACUCCAGAGGCCAGCCCCACCCAGCCCACUCCCAUGUGCCAUGCAGGCAGGGGCAGGUCUGGUCAGCAGGCAGGGGCUGGCAGUCUCCACGGGAGGGAGCCCUCCAUCACUGGUGUGAGCACCCCUGCCUUCCUCAGCGGGUCCUGAUGCACUCGUCUGUCUGGGGUCCCUCCCUGCUGCAAAGUAAUCUCCAGGAGGGUGGGGGCCAGUGCCCUCCUCCUCUCCAGGAGCCCACCCUACAGCUCCACUCCUGGGAAUGUCCUGCACUUCUAGAACCUUCGUUUGAGCUCCACUGUGUGCAGAAAACCUGGGCACUCAGUUCCCCUGUCUCCCCAGUCUCUGGUCUGAGAGGUUUUCUUCCUCUGCAAACCCGACACCACCCUCUCUCAACUCCUCUCUCCCUCUUCUUUUCUCUCCCCACAGAAAGGGCUCCCUCCCCACCACAGUAGGGCAGCUUUUCUCUCCCCCAAUUCCUUUCCAGGGACCUCGCACUGCCCCAUUAUCUUCCUCCAACAGCGGAGAUCCUUUUUAUCUUUGCAUUGAUUUCCUGGGUGUCCCCAGUGAUCUGAACCUCAGUACAGCUGUGUUUCAGGGACCAGGAAAGCCCAGGGUCACCCUACUUCUCCAUCUUCUCCCAUAAUUUACAAGAUUCCAUUUAAAUAGAGGCAGACACAGACCCACUCCUAGGGACAUUUUGUUUAUAGUAAGGAGGCUCUGCAAAGCAGUGACCAAGGGUGCUUCUGCGUAAAUGGUCCAGGGUCAACUGGUUAUUAUAUGAGAAAAAAUUCAUCUUUACUCUUACCUCAUACCACGAACAAAAAUCAAUACCAGGUGGAUCUUAAAUAUAAAUGUGGAAGUUUGAGAGAAUAAUCUUUGUAAAAGAUACCUUAGGGAAUAAUUUCAAGAUCUUGGGGCCAGCAAAGAUUUAUUGGAACAUGAAGUGUACUAAACACAAAGGGAAAACGGAUUAUUUGGGAAUCAUUGAAAUAAUCAAAAGGCACCUUUCAGAGAGUAAAAAAGGCAGGCACAGAAUGGGGAUACACAUUUGCCAUCUUUUGAUUGGACAAUGUAAUGUGGUAAAGGCAGAAGGAAAUGGACAUAAAAUUAAAUGACCCUCUAACCUGCAACCCAUUGACAAAUACUUGAGGCAAGCAGAGUAUAAGAUUCCUCAAGGAAAGUCCCAACUGUCUUAAUGUUAAUGCCUUGCUAGACGGGAACACCUUAGCAUGACCAUAGCAAGGCCUCCAAAAUCCUGUGAGUCCUGUUUAGCAUAUGAAAAUCCGUUUGUAACUUUGUCUUUAGUUCCCCCAACCCCAAAGUGUAUAAUCAGUUGCUCCUCACAAUCCCUGGACAGCAUCUCUUCCUGCGCAGGGGUCCUGCCCCCCUGAUUUAAUAAAACUACCCUUUUG